CUCAGGAGAGCACAGCUGCUCCUUAUGUAACAUCUCUACAUUCAAAGAGAAAUGGCUGAUUUACAAAGGUUCCAAGUGCCAGACUGAAGCACAGUUCAGAGGCUGGGAAGCCUGGCCUUCGGUUUCAACCCUGCUUUUGAUGAACUAACAGACCUACGGUUAUAUACUACAUAAGCAUCACAAGAUCGUUUGACUCCUUUCAGGAUAGUAAGAUGGAAGAAAGGCCAAUAUUACUGAGAAAUUGAACCACAUCUUUGAUCAUGAUCCACCCCAUGAAGAGUAAAAGGCUUGCUGGAAAUAAGUUCCCCGAAGGAGGAAGAGAGCUGUGUUUGGAUUUUCUUUAGAAAAAGAGCAGAGUAAUUUUGCCCUUUAUUCAGCAAGCCAUUUGAGCAUGUGCUUAACUUUUGGCAUGUUCUUAAAUCCCACUGACUUGAAAGGCUGCAGAAUUGUGGCUUAUCUGACCAACGGUCCAAGCUACCACCAAGAUGGUAAAUUAAACCAAUGGCUUCAAUGUAUAAGAUGAUCCCAGGGGUCAGGAAACAUUCCCCUUUCACUUUUCCCAGCAUAUCUCCCUCAGGAGGCCUCAGUGUUGGACCAAAUGUGGCUCUGUCUUUUAAAUGAUAAUUUGUAGACUUGCUAUUACUGAAUUGGGUUAAGUGCUGUAAUGCUCUAUCA